UACAGAGGGUGCGAGCGUUAUUCGGAAUUAUUGGGCGUAAAGCGUGCGUAGACGGCUUUUUAAGUCGGAUGUGAAAGCCCCGGGCUCAACCUGGGAAUUGCAUUCGAGACUGAAUAGCUAGGGUGCGGUAGAGGGAAGCGGAAUUUCCGGUGUAGUGGUGAAAUGCGUAGAUAUCGGAAGGAACAUCAGUGGCGAAAGCGGCUUCCUGGACCAGCACCGACGUUCAGGCACGAAAGCGUGGGGAGCAAACAGG
rnacentral:rRNA from 1 species